GAUGAACGCUGGCGGCGUGCCUAAUACAUGCAAGUCGAGCGGACAGACGCUGAGCUUGUUGCUCUGACGUUAGCCGCGGACGGGUGAGUCACACGUGUAUCACCUACCUAUCAUUCUGGUAUCACUUCGGGAAUCCGGAUCUUAUCCCGUAUAAUCUAUUGAACCGUGUGGUUCAAUAGUGAAUUACGGCUUUUCGGUCACUACUCGAUGCUUCCGCGCCGCUUGAGGUAGUUGUUAAGGUAAAGGCUUACCAAGGCAACGAUGCGUAACCGACCGGAGAGGGUGAUAGGCCACACGGGAACUUGGACACGGUCCAGACGCCUACGGGAGGCAGCAGUAGGGAAUGUGACGCAAUGGGGGAAAGCCUGACGGAGCAACGCCGAGCCAGAGAUGAAGGUCUUCCGAUCGUAAAGCUCUCUUAUGGGGUAAGAACAACUGUCGAAGGAACUAUGGACGGAGUGACGGUAACGAAUAAGAAAGCAACGGCUAACUACGUG
rnacentral:rRNA from 1 species